rnacentral:tRNA from 2 species
GCGCACGUAGCUCAGCUGGAUAGAGCGUCUGGCUACGGACCAGAAGGUCAGGGGUUCGAAUCCUCUCGUGCGUA